GCCAGAGAGGCAGAGAUUCCGCUAGAAUUGCGAUUGGGUGGCCAACGUUUUUCCAAAGAACUAUUUUUUGUGCUAGUUUUAUUGUACCGGCCCAUCUGUUUACUGUUUCCAGGUCACACGUUAAUCGGGCCUGACCUCACGUUGCCCCACACGGUACUCUGCACUGGCGCCAUUCUGGAUCCUAGACACUGAUAAUGCAUCCUAACGCACGUCUCUGCUUUUGCUGUAGACUCGCUGACCGACAGCAAAUGCAGAUUAAUAUUUGCCAUGUCCCUCGCUGGGUGCUUAAAUUGGCAAAACGAGGAAUAUAAAUCAGCGGAAAUUAAUGUAGAACAUUAAAACCAUGUUUAAUCCAUA